GUGUCAGCAGCCGCGGUAAUACGAAGGUCCCGAGCGUUGUUCGGAAUCACUGGGCGUAAAGGGAGCGUAGGCGGCGUGGUAAGUCAGAUGUGAAAUCCCGGGGCUCAACCCCGGAACUGCAUCCGAUACUGCCGUGCUUGAGGGUUGGAGAGGUAGCUGGAAUUAUCGGUGUAGCAGUGAAAUGCGUGGAUAUCGAUAGGAACACUCGUGGCGAAGGCGAGCUACUGGACAACAUCUGACGCUGAGGCUCGAAGGCUAGGGGAGCAAAAGGGAUUAGAUACCCUAGUAGUCC
rnacentral:rRNA from 1 species